rnacentral:rRNA from 1 species
CGUGCUUAACACAUGCAAGUCGAACGGUGAAGGGGAGCUUGCUCCCCGGAUCAGUGGCGAACGGGUGAGUAACACGUGGGAACGUGCCUUUAGGUUCGGAAUAAGCCCGGGAAACUGGGUCUAAUACCGAAUGUGCCCUUCGGGGGCAAGAUUUAUCGCCUUUAGAGCGGCCCGCGUCUGAUUAGCUAGUUGGUGAGGUAAAAGCUCACCAAGGCGACGAUCAGUAGCUGGUCUGAGAGGAUGAUCAGCCACACUGGGACUGAGACACGGCCCAGACUCCUACGGGAGGCAGCAGUGGGGAAUCUUGCGCAAUGGGCGAAAGCCUGACGCAGCCAUGCCGCGUGAAUGAUGAAGGUCUUAGGAUUGUAAAAUUCUUUCACCGGGGACGAUAAUGACGGUACCCGGAGAAGAAGCCCCGGCUAACUUCGUGCCAGCCGCCGCGGUAAGAC